GCAGCCGCGGUAAUACGGAGGAUGCGAGCGUUAUCCGGAUUUAUUGGGUUUAAAGGGAGCGUAGGUGGUUUAUUAAGCAAGCUGUGAAAUACUGCCGCUCAACGGCAGCCGUGCAGUUUGAACUGGUAGACUUGAGUGUACAUGAGGGAAGUGGAAUUCGUGGUGUAGCGGUGAAAUGUUUAGAUAUCACGAAGAACUCCAAUUGCGAAGGCAGCUUCCUAGGGUACAACUGACACUGAGGCUCGAAAGUGCGGGUAUCGAACAGGAUUAGAUACCCC
rnacentral:rRNA from 1 species